GUGUCAGGAGCUGCACUCUGCUUGGUUCUUCGUCCGCGUUGUGGAAGGUGUUUUCUGUAGUUGUUUGCAGUAAAUCUUGCUGUUGCUCAUUCUCUGGGUCUGCAGUGUUUCUAUUCGCUUUAAUGCUUACUGUGAAGGCCUGCCUUUUCACUCGUGAAGUCAGCUACAGGAGAAACCCACCGGGAAGAGGGAACGACUUCAGUUGCGCUGCCCUUAAGAGCUGUAACACUCAGUGGGAAGAUCUGCAGUUUCACUCCUGAGGCCAGCAAGACCAGGAACCCACCGAGAGGAAGGAACAACUCCAGACCAUGCUGCCUUUUGAGAGAUGUAACAGUCACCGGGAUGGUCUGCAGCUUCACUCCUGAAAUCAGCGAGACUACGAACCCACCAGUAAGAAGAAACUCCGGGCACGUCUGAACUUCAGAAGUCUGUUCGUGACAUUUGGUAUUCCUAACAUGCCCACUUGGAGGAAACUGCCAGCUUAGGCCAACCGGGGCGAAAUGCAUGCACUUCUAAAGUCAUAAGCCCAAUAAUAAUUUUCAGAAGGAGGCACUCAUUCACUUCAGCUUAUAAACUUGCAAAUCUGUAGAUUCAUUAGUCUAUCACUUACAUGGAAAGAUAAAAUUUAUAUUUAAUUUUGAGACUUGAUGUUCUUGAAAAUUUUCAAGUCAACAUUUGUUUUUGUUGUGCACCUCUGUCAAAAGAUAAAUACAUAGUACGUAAUCAUUAUUUAUUUGUUAAUAAUAUACUCUGCAUGGUCUCACAUUUCAUAGUUCAUGCAUUGUUUAUUCAUUAAUAUAACCUAUCUUAAUAUGCACCACAUAACUGAGAGCCCUUGUCAACUCCUCAGAAGCAAUUAACUCCUAAGGUAACUAUGACAACGAAUCACUUAAUGCUUAAAGUGUAACAAAAAGACUGUGUGAUUUGGAUGUUAAUUCAAAUAUUUCCCAUACAGCCCCAUACAGCCACUUUGGAAGGGAAGUGCUUUCUCACAAAACUAAGUAUACUGUCACCAUAAGAUCCAGUAAUUGUGUCUUGGCAUUUAACCAAAGGCAUGGGAAACUGAGGUCAACACAAAAAUCUGCACAUUAAUGUUUAUAGGAGUUUUAUCCAUAACUGCCCAAAGGGGGAAGCAACUUCAGUAAGUGAAUGGAUAAACAAACUCUGGUACACUCAUACAAUAGAAUAUUAAGUGAUAAAAAGGUACGUGCUAUUUAACUAUGAGAAGACAUGGAAAAAAAACCAAAACAAAACCUUAAAUGCCCAUCACUAAGAGAAAGAAGCCAGUCUGAAAAGACUACAUACUGUGUAAGCCGAACUAUAUGACAUUCUUUAAAAGGCAGAACUAUGGAGACAACGAAAAGUACAGUUGUUGCCAGGGAUUUGCAGGGAGGAGGAGGGAUUAAUAGGUGGACCACAGGGGAUUUUCAGGGCAGUGAAACCAUUCUGUAAAAUGUCAUGGUGGAUAUAUUACAUUACACAUUUUUAAAACCCAUAGAAUGUACAACACAAACAGUGCACCUUAAUGAAACUGUUAAUUUUAGUUAAUAAGAAUAAUGUAUCAAUAUUGGCUCAUUAAUUGUAACAAAUAUACCAUAGGAAUGCAAGAUAUCUUACUAAUAGGCAUGAUGAGCUAGGGAGGGUUUAAGGAACUCUUUGUAUUGUCUGCUCGAUUUUCUUGUAAAUGUAAAACUGCCUCCAAAAAUAAUGUCUUUUUAUUAAAGAAAAACGUGCUGCUA